UACGAAGGGGGCUAGCGUUGCUCGGAAUUACUGGGCGUAAAGCGCACGUAGGCGGCUUUCUAAGUCGGGGGUGAAAUCCUGGAGCUCAACUCCAGAACUGCCUUCGAUACUGGAGAGCUUGAGUCCGGGAGAGGUGAGUGGAACUGCGAGUGUAGAGGUGAAAUUCGUAGAUUAUUCGCAAGAACACCAGUGGCGAAAGGCG
rnacentral:rRNA from 1 species